rnacentral:rRNA from 1 species
UUGCUUCUCUUGAGAGCGGCGGACGGGUGAGUAAUGCCUAGUGAUAGUCUGCCUGGUUGAGGUGAGAGUGAGAAUAUAUCCGUGUACAGGAAACGGCAUCGCUUAAUACCGCAUACGUCCUACGGGAGAAAGCAGGGGACCUUCGGGCCUUGCGCUAUCAGAUGAGCCUAGGUCGGAUUAGCUAGUUGGUGAGGUAAUGGCUCACCAAGGCGACGAUCCGUAACUGGUCUGAGAGGAUGAUCAGUCACACUGGAACUGAGACACGGUCCAGACUCCUACGGGAGGCAGCAGUGGGGAAUAUUGGACAAUGGGCGAAAGCCUGAUCCAGCCAUGCCGCGUGUGUGAAGAAGGUCUUCGGAUUGUAAAGCACUUUAAGUUGGGAGGAAGGGCAGUUACCUAAUACGUGAUUGUUUUGACGUUACCGACAGAAUAAGCACCGGCUAACUCUGUGCCAGCAGCCGCGGUAAUACAGAGGGUGCAAGCGUUAAUCGGAAUUACUGGGCGUAAAGCGCGCGUAGGUGGUUAGUUAAGUUGGAUGUGAAAUCCCCGGGCUCAACCUGGGAACUGCAUUCAAAACUGACUGACUAGAGUAUGGUAGAGGGUGGUGGAAUUUCCUGUGUAGC